UUUGUGAGGCUGAUGUGUAGGCAAAUCCGCACAUCGUAAGGCUGGGCUGUGAUGGGGAGCGAAAAUUGCAGUAGCGAAGGUCAUGAGUUCAGGCUGCCAAGAAAAGCCUCUAGCCAGGUGAAGGUGCCCGUACCGCAAACCGACACAGGUAGGCGAGCAGAGUAUGCUAAGGCGCUCGGAAGAACUCUCGUUAAGGAACUCGGCAAAAUGACCCCGUAACUUCGGGAGAAGGGGUGCCUCGGUAGGGUGAAUAGCCCGAGGGGGCCGCAGUGAAAAGGCCCAAGCGACUGUUUAGCAAAAACACAGGUCUGUGCGAAGCCGUAAGGCGAAGUAUACGGGCUGACGCCUGCCCGGUGCUGGAAGGUUAAGGGGAGUGGUUAGCCGCAAGGCGAAGCUAUGAACCGAAGCCCCAGUAAACGGCGGCCGUAACAAUAACGGUCCUAAGGUAGCGAAAUUCCUUGUCAGGUAAAUUCUGACCCGCACGAAUGGCGUAACGACUUGGGCGCUGUCUCAACGAGAGAUCCGGUGAAAUUUUAAUACCUGUGAAGAUGCAGGUUACCCGCGACAAGACGGAAAGACCCCAUGGAGCUUUACUGCAGCUUGAUGUUGGACUUUGGUACGAUCUGUACAGGAUAGGUGGGAGCCUUGGAAGCCGGAGCGCCAGCUUCGGCGGAGGCAUCGUUGGGAUACCACCCUGAUCGUAUCGGAGUUCUAACCUGGUACCGUGAUCCGGUACAGGGACCGUGUCAGGUGGGCAGUUUGACUGGGGCGGUCGCCUCCUAAAAUGUAACGGAGGCGCCCAAAGGUUCCCUCAGAAUGGUUGGAAAUCAUUCGUAGCGUGCAAAGGCAUAAGGGAGCUUGACUGCGAGACCUACAAGUCGAGCAGGGACGAAAGUCGGGCUUAGUGAUCCGGUGGUACCGCAUGGAAGGGCCAUCGCUCAACGGAUAAAAGCUACCCUGGGGAUAACAGGCUUAUCUCCCCCAAGAGUCCACAUCGACGGGGAGGUUUGGCACCUCGAUGUCGGCUCAUCGCAUCCUGGGGCUGAAGUAGGUCCCAAGGGUUGGGCUGUUCGCCCAUUAAAGCGGUACGCGAGCUGGGUUCAGAACGUCGUGAGACAGUUCGGUCCCUAUCUGUCGGGGGCGUAGGAAAUUUGAGAGGAGCUGUCCUUAGUACGAGAGGACCGGGAUGGACGCACCGCUGGUGUACCAGUUGUUCCGCCAGGAGCAUAGCUGGGUAGCUACGUGCGGACGGGAUAAGCGCUGAAAGCAUCUAAGCGUGAAGCCCCCCUCAAGAUGAGAUUUCCCAGUAUGUAAGACCCCUGGAAGACGACCAGGUUGAUAGGUUCGAGGUGGAAGCGCAGCAAUGCGUGGAGCUGACGAAUACUAAUCGGUCGAGGGCUUAUCC
rnacentral:rRNA from 1 species